rnacentral:rRNA from 1 species
CAGCCGCCGCGGGAAUACGAAGGGUGCAAGCGUUAAUCGGAAUUACUGGGCGUAAAGCGUGCGUAGGCGGUGAGUUAAGUCUGCUGUGAAAUCCCCGGGCUCAACCUGGGAAUGGCAGUUGAUACUGGCUCGCUAGAGUGUGUCAGAGGAUGGUGGAAUUCCCGGUGUAGCGGUGAAAUGCGUAGAGAUCGGGAGGAACAUCAGUGGCGAAGGCGGCCAUCUGGGACAACACUGACGCUGAGGCACGAAAGCGUGGGGAGCAAACAGGAUUAGAUACCCGAGUAGUCCCUGUCUCUUAUAC